rnacentral:rRNA from 1 species
UAAGUGUAUAAGCCGUGCGAGGUGUCAGGGCGCGGGGCGCGGCGGGAGAACCUGACCCACAACGCCGCGUGAGUGAUGAAGGCCUUCGGGUUGUAAAGCUCUUUUGGUUGGGAAGAAAGGUGUGUGUGUUAAUACGGGAUGCAUUUGAUGGUACCAAAAAAAAAAGCCCCGGCAAACUUCGUGCCAGCAACCGCGGUAAUUACUUCUUCCCAACGAUGACUUUCACCGCGGCUUCUCCUCGGCGGCGUUGCUGCCUCGGCUUUCCCAUUGCCAUAUUCCCACUGCUGUUCCGUAUGCUCCCGGGCCCCCCCCGCCCCCCCUGCAGCGGCGAAAUAUUAUUUUCCCAAAAAUCACCCCCGCUUUUUCCCCCCCUUUUUAAAA